CCUACGGGUGGCAGCAGUGAGGAAUAUUGGUCAAUGGGCGGAAGCCUGAACCAGCCAAGUAGCGUGCAGGAUGACGGCCCUACGGGUUGUAAACUGCUUUUAUACGGGAAUAACGCGCCUUACGUGUAGGGCUUUGCAUGUACCGUAUGAAUAAGGACCGGCUAAUUCCGUGCCAGCAGCCGCGGUAAUACGGAAGGUCCGGGCGUUAUCCGGAUUUAUUGGGUUUAAAGGGUGCGUAGGCGGUCCGUUAAGUCAGCGGUAAAAUUGCGGGGCUCAACCCCGUCGAGCCGUUGAAACUGGCAGACUUGAGUUGGCGAGAAGUACGCGGAAUGCGCGGUGUAGCGGUGAAAUGCAUAGAUAUCGCGCAGAACUCCGAUUGCGAAGGCAGCGUACCGGCGCCAGACUGACGCUGAGGCACGAAAGCGUGGGGAUCGAACAGGAUUAGAUACCCUUGUAGUC
rnacentral:rRNA from 1 species